GAUGAACGCUGGCGGCGUGCCUAAUACAUGCAAGUCGAGCGAACAGAUAAGGAGCUUGCUCCUUUGACGUUAGCGGCGGACGGGUGAGUAACACGUGGGUAACCUACCUAUAAGACUGGAAUAACUCCGGGAAACCGGGGCUAAUGCCGGAUAACAUUUAGAACCGCAUGGUUCUAAAGUGAAAGAUGGUUUUGCUAUCACUUAUAGAUGGACCCGCGCCGUAUUAGCUAGUUGGUAAGGUAACGGCUUACCAAGGCAACGAUACGUAGCCGACCUGAGAGGGUGAUCGGCGACACUGGAACUGAGACACGGUCCAGACUCCUACGGGAGGCAGCAGUAGGGAAUCUUCCGCAAUGGGCGAAAGCCUGACGGAGCAACGCCGCGUGAGUGAUGAAGGUCUUCGGAUCGUAAAACUCUGUUAUUAGGGAAGAACAAAUGUGUAAGUAACUGUGCACGUCUUGACGGUACCUAAUCAGAAAGCCACGGCUAACUACGUG
rnacentral:rRNA from 1 species